rnacentral:lncRNA from 1 species
AUGCCUGGCCCAAAGGAGUUGGGCAGAAACCAGCCCAGACCUGGCACCUCCACCCAGAUGCAGGAGAAGUUUGCUGUCCCUUGGUCUGGCUGUUCAAAUACUGGUGCCUGUUCUUCUAUACUCCACUGGGACCGGAAUCAAGGGCUUUCAAAUGCUUUAUCUAACUCUCCUAGAAGGACUGCCACCACUCAUGGGACCACAUCGUCCACCCCAGUGCCCAUCUUCCUCACUGAUGUGAAAACAUACUCAGAGAAAAGUUUUCUCUAA